rnacentral:pre_miRNA from 1 species
CAGUUGGUGAUCUCAAUCAGUGAUCUCAGUUGUGAUCUCAAUCACUGAUUGAGAUCACUGAUUG